rnacentral:ncRNA from 1 species
AUCCUCACCGGCCAAAUCAGUAACUAUGUCUAGCCCAUUGCGAGGUAGUAACUAUGACUCUCUUAAGGUAGCCAAAUACCUCGUCAUCUAAUCAGUUAUGAGUUUGAAUGGAU